rnacentral:rRNA from 1 species
AACGAGCCGAGGGGAGCUUGCUCCCCAGAGCUAGUGGCGGACGGGUGAGUAACACGUGAGCAACCUGCCUUUCAGAGGGGGAUAACGUUUGGAAACGAACGCUAAUACCGCAUAACAUACCGGGACCGCAUGAUUCUGGUAUCAAAGGAGCAAUCCGCUGAAAGAUGGGCUCGCGUCCGAUUAGCUAGUUGGCGGGGUAACGGCCCACCAAGGCGACGAUCGGUAGCCGGACUGAGAGGUUGAUCGGCCACAUUGGGACUGAGACACGGCCCAGACUCC